CCUACUGUAGUUGGGCGCCCCGCUCUCCCCAUAGGAAAACAAUGGAACGGCCAGCGCAGAGCGAUUUUACCGCGGAUCAUGUGUGGGCGGUUUAAGGG